CAGCCGCCGCGGGAAUACGAGGGGGGCAAGCGUUGUUCGGAUUUAUUGGGCGUAAAGGGUGCGUAGGCGGUUUGGCAAGUCUUGUGUGAAAUCUUCGGGCUCAACCCGAAGCCUGCACGAGAAACUACCGGGCUUGAGUAUUGGAGAGGUGAGUGGAAUUUCCGGUGUAGCGGUGAAAUGCAUAGAUAUCGGAAGGAACACCUGUGGCGAAAGCGGCUCACUGGACAAUAACUGACGCUGAUGCACGAAAGCUAGGGGAGCAAACAGGAUUAGAUACCCCCGUAGUCCCUGUCUCUUAUAC
rnacentral:rRNA from 1 species